UUUGGUCUCCAUGGAUACAGAAGUGAACAAGAUAGGUGAGGCCCUGGCCUCAGGGAAUUUAUAUCUUAGAAGAAAGUAAUAGUAAGCAAGUAAACAGGACAGGGAUAGCAUAUGUACCCAGAAGGGACUGUAACGAGGUGUGAGUGGUGUCAGGGGAGGGCUGUGUCAGAUAAGGGGCUCAAGGAAGAUGACAUUUCGUGUGACACCUGAGAAGAACCAGCCACGCAGAGAGCCUGAAGAAAUAAUUUAGUAAAACAUGAUGCUCUCACAGGCCCCAGGCCUCAGACUUACAGAAGGCGCCAUGAGGAGGGCAUGGAAGGAGAGAAGUUAUCAAAGAACCCCAGAUGGCCUCAUAGGGCCAGGAAGGACGACACAGCCCUUGGGGAUGACCGCACCCUGGGUCGCGUUUGGGUCUCCCCGUCCAACUGCCUCUGCCCUUCUAGGUGAAGCAGAUCAUGGAGGAGGCAGCCACACGGAAGUUCGUCCAUGAGGGCAGCAGCCACAUCAUCUUCUGUGGUGAGUCCGUGGACCCUGACCUGGAAAGGGGCUUCUUUCUCUGUGGGCUGCCUUGGGGGAGUGGCGUCUUUGUGCCAGGGUUCUCAUACCGUGUUUUGACUUUGUGACUCUGAAGUUAUUUUUGGAUUCCCGGGGGGCUCCGUGAGGGAAUUUGGAACCACGGAGAAGCCGAGAGAAGAAAGGAAGAAUGGCCUGUGUACCCAGCAAGAGUAAGUCACUGCUGACGCUGGAGGGACUGUCUUCCCCUCCUGUGGGCUCAGUUCAUGGCUACCCAUCCCCCUAGUGACGUUGGUCUCGCAUCUGACAACAGACUCUGCACCCUUUCCUCACCCUGCCUGUGGCUGUUGCCAAAUGAAGGGGGAGGAUGGAUGGGCUUUAAAGACAUAGGGAAUCGGGAGCCAUUGAUCCAUGCUAAGGGAUCAUGUCCAGCUGGCUCAGCAGAGGAGGCAGGCCCAGGGCUCGGAGCUUGACUUGUGUCCUUGAACCAGCUGUGCUCACAAGAUUCUAGAAGUAACCGUGCUGCCAGGUUCUUACUGUCCUUCCACAAUGGCUGCAGACACAUGUUUUACGUGUCCACACAGUCAGGGUUCAGCUUCUAAUCCAUGUGUAUGUAUAAGCAGGGAUGUUUCUUUCUGCCUGAAAACCUUUUCAUUCCAUGACUGGAGUGUCUCGCAACGGAGGACGUGCUGUAUCUCCCCUCUCGCGCUCUUGGCCCCGAGGAGAGGCCAGAGCGAGGAGACCUGGUCGGCCCUCAGCUUCAUCCAGAUGGCUGGAGGCACUACCCAUCGAGCACGUGCCGUGACCUGGGAGCCCACUGCUGUCAGGUUAGCCCCUUUGCAGCCAGGCAGACCUGGGUUCGAAUCCCUCCUCUGCCGUUUGUUUGUUGGGUGACCUUGGCAAAAAAAAAAAAAAAAAAAAAAAGUUUAUUUGGAGAGAGAGUGUGUGGGCAGAGGGAGGGCAGAGAGAGAGAGGAAGAGAGACACAGAGAGAGAAUCUCAAGCAGGCUCUACGCUGUCAGCGCAGAGCCUGAUGCGGGCACCGAACCCAUGAACCAUGAGAUCGUGACCUGAGCCGAAGUCGGACGCUUAACCAACUGAGCCACCCAGGCGCCCCCAGAUUUCUUUUUAAAGUGAGAUGUGUUUAUUUAAAUUACAUGUAUAUGUGUGUGUGUGUGUGUUUAUAUACUUGUAUGUGUAUAUAUAGGUGUGUAUAUAUAUAUAUAUAUACGUCUGCAUAUGUACAUGUGUAUAUACGCAUAAAUGUUAAUGUGAGAAUGUAUAUAUGCCUAAUUUUUUUUUUUUAUCCUGGACAUCUCUAUUUGCAAAGAAAAUAAUAGGCAUACUUCAGAGUGUGCGACCAUGCUCACCCGUUGAAGAUUUAGAGGAACAGAACGGGAUAAAAAUCAUGAUUCUCUACCUCCAACCCCAGUGUUUGGAUGAGGGAGGAAGGGUGAUGUCACUGCAGGGUGAGGCCUGCAGGGGCUCCCUGUGGUGUCUCUGCUCCAUUGUGCCUCAUGAGCCAUUGUCAGAAAGACGCAAGGCAUGUCUCCAGUGCUUGAACAGUUAAUUAACUUAUUGCAGUCUAAACCAAAGUGUAGUGUGUGCAAGCAAAAAUGAAGAUAUUUCCGAGAUGCUCACCCAGAAUAUAUUAAACCCAUGGGCAGAUUAGGCAGUAGGGUGGGCAUCCGUUCAAAGCCACGUAAUCGCUGGGGCAGCUGGCUGGCUCAUUCAGUGGAGCACGUGACUCUGGAGCUCAACGUUGUGAGUUCCAGCCCCACGUUGGGCGUGGAGCCUCCUAAAAGAGAAAGUAUAAUCAUAAGGUUUUGAAAAAAGUCAAAUAAUUGCCAACAAAAACAAACCAAGACAAGCAAUUGCACCAAACCUCUCGGUAUUUCUCCUUGUGUGCAACAUAACCUGGGCCAGGCUCUUAACCCUCAGGCUGCUGGAGUAUUCCUCCUGUGGAGUCACAGUAACUAGCACUCUCACUGCUUGGGUUUUUUCCACAAGGAUUAGGUAAGGUAAACCUUAACACUGGUCUCACACCCAGCAGAUACCCAAUAAGGAGUAGCCCUUAUAAGAUGCUCAGUUUUUCCAUGAACAUCGAUUAUGCUCAUAUGAUACACCAGAGUGAGCUCCCUCCCAGUCUGCGGUGUAAGACAGAAGAUAAGAAAAUACUCAAUAAAGCGCUGCUGAAAGUACCAGAAAUAAGACUGGGGCCAUCCGAAUGGCCUGCACAGGGACUGUUUCCCGGGGGGGAGGGGGGUGGGGGGGGACACUAAGGCCCAGAGAGGGAAAGCGAUUUGCCUGAGGUCGCACAGCAAGUUAGUGAUAGAGCCCAGGCUACUGCCCAGGUCUCCUGCUCUGAGCAGGGCUGGGCGGGGUGUCCAGGGGAAACACAGACAUGGGAAGAUGAUGACAGUCCUCUCUUCAGAUCCUUUGUGGCGGCACAAGUGCUGUGAGCACACCUUGGGCUCAGACCUGGCUUUGGAUCCCAGCUCGUCUGGGUGGCCCUGGGCAAUUCAGUUCCCCUCUUAGGGCCUCAGUUUCCACAUCUGAGAACUGGAGAUGGCGUUCCUUUCUUCCUUGGCUGUGGCAGAGCUGGAACGGGAUCCAUAAUGUUGGCUGUUCCUGGAGUCACAAUGGUGGUGCCGAUCAUGUGAUUCUUCAGCCCAGAUAAAGCCCACCAGUCGUGUGGUCAGCCUCCCCUCCCUCACUGACAGGAGUAGUAGCUAACGGCCCUGAAGCGCUCACUGUGUGCCGAACCAUGUGAAGCGCUUGCCAUGCAUUUUCCCCACCUCGCUUGCUGCAACCGUGUCAGAUGCCUGUUCGUACUUUCCCAUUUCACAGAUGAGGAUACUGAGACACAGAGAGAGGAAGUCAUUGCCCAAGGUCACGCAGCCGGUUAGUGUCUGGGAGAGGAUGUGAACACAGACAGUCUGACCUUGGGCAGCAAACACAGGUUCACUGCUAAGCUCUCCUGCUCCCCUUUGAGGGAGUGGAAGGCAGACAGACGUACGUGAUUUUCCUUUGAUGCUUUCGUGGAUUUUGCGAUUCUGGGGCGCCCCACUCUCCAAGGCGCCUCUGUGUGGCUGAAGACCUGAGCUGGGCUGGGUGCUGGGGAGCACGGGUAGGGCAGGGCCUGCUGACCAUUGUGUCCCUGCAGCGGCUGCAGAGGCCUGCGUCCUGCAUGGGCUGCGGCGGCGGGCGGCUGGCUUUCUGUGCAGCAACAAGAUUGCAGCUCUCUUCGUGAAAGUGGGCAAGAACUUCCCACCGGCCAAAGAGCUGAGCCGCAAGGUGCAGGACCUGGAACGGCCGAUCGAGAGCGUGUGAGUGCGGAGCCUGGGGUAUGGGCUGGAGCGUUGCCUCAGGGGACAGUCCAGGCUCCUCCCUGAGCUCUGCCAGAACCCGCACCUCCUGGCACUGUCUGCACUCUGCUUUCGCUCCUCAAACCCGCCAGACUCUUUCCUACCCCGGGGCCUUUGCACAUGCUCUACCUACCACCCGGUUCACACGCCUCACCUUCCAGGGCUGGUGCCUGGUCAUCAUUCAGGCCUUCCCCCAGUUAAGGGGAAACUCCAACCCUCACCCCAUUUCUCUUACAUAUCACUGCUUAUUUUCUCUCCUGUGGUUAUCACCACCUGCAAUUAUUCAUUCCUUUGUGUACUUUUCACUUGAUUGUUGUCUAUCUCUCCUCCUUGGCUCUGAACUCCAUGAGAACAGGCCACUAAAAUCUGUUAUUCCCCAUUUUGUCCCCAGUGUCUGGACAGUGCCCAGCACCUGGUAAAAUGCUCAAGAAAUGAUUGUUGAAUGAGUAAGUGUCUGCUGUUAGCCAAACCCAUUCCGAAUGCAGGAAGACCAAGUUUAAUGAAACUACUGUGGUCUCCAUCUGCAUGGACCAGAUGCUGACAUUGAGGCAACAAGGGGAACGGUGACUUCACUCACAGGCGAAACCAGAUUCAGGGCCUCCAGGAGAAUGUGCGGAAGCUGCCGAAGCUGCCCAGCCCGUCCCCACUUGCCAUCAAGCACCUGUGGAUCCGCACUGCUUUGUUUGAGAAGGUCCUGGACAAAAUUGUGCAUUACCUGGUGGAAAACAGCAGGAAAAUAUAUAUGAAAGGAGAGAGCAGAGUCCUUCCUCUCACGAACCUCACAUCGUUGCAGGGAAAACAGGAAAAUAGUAAUUGUGGUAAUAUGUGUAAAUACUAUGAGAAGGAAGCCCUCCAGAUGGACCCGGUGGAUGGCCCCAUCGUUGCGUCUUUGUUGGUGGGGCCCCGUGCCCUGGAGUACACCAAGAUGAAGACUGCAGAUCACUUCUGGACUGACCCCUCGGCCGACGAGCUUGUCCAGAGGCACCGCAUCCACAGCUCGCACCUGUGGCAGGACUCACCCACCAAGCGUCCAGCCCUCUGUAAGAGACAUUCAAGUGGCAGCAUGGACGACCGACCAUCCCUUUCUGCCCGUGACUGUGUUGAGUCCCUGCACCAGAACUCCCGGGCCACGCUCCUCUAUGGCAAGAACAAUGUUCUGGUUCAGCCGGUGUCCCUAAGUAGGAAAAGCAGCGGUCCCUUCCUGUCAUGAGUCGCCAGGCUGUUGCUGAGGUGAGCUUCUCGUCUUUCCUUGAGGAACACAAGUGCUUUCUUAGGGUCUUUCCAAUCAACUUCUGUUGUCAAUAGGACAGUCUACAUUUUCGAUGAUCCUGUUACUUUCCCUGAUGGGGACAGUGGUGAGUGGUUGCCUCUUGCCAACUGUCACCUUGGUCAGGGGGACAUUAACCACUGGCUGUGCCAAACCUGGUAAUAAACAGUGUCCUAGGACUUUUGCGUCAGCAGCAAUUGGUCCUGCUUGGGUGAAGAAUUUUGUCGUCGACAUCCUAAGUGGUCUUGAGAGACACAUGCCCAGGAAAAAGAACUCCUGACAGGCACCUAUUUCAUUAGCUUUUGGAGACCUUUGACGCAAGCACUGUGUGCCAUCUGGUUUCCUAAAGUCAAGAGGAGAACCAAAGAGCAGUGCGAUGCGUGUUCAUCAUGAUCUGACCCUGAUGGGGUUUCUUUCCUGUGCAUUCAGGUCGUCGUGAGAGCAAUGGAAAAUGGUAUGCGUUUUGGAAUCUGUCUCUCCUGAUGAAAGACUGCAUAUAUUCAGCAACAUGGGGCAUUCCUGCUGGCAUCAGUCUAGAGAGCUACCCUGACUCCAGGUUCCUUGUAGGAAAGAGGCUUGAGGGUAUGGAGAAAAGACAGAUUUCCCAGGGGAAAACCUAUGUCCAUGUGUACAGUGUGAGGAAGACAGUGUAUUCACUGUGCUUGUGUGUGUGUGUAUGUUUGAGAGAGACAGAAACUGAGGGACAGGGAAGGAGCCAGGAAAACACACUAAGAGAAUGGGACACACGCAUUCAUUAGAGAGACAGGGAGAGAGGAGAGACAGCGAGAGAUGUGUCCUUCCCCAGGAGAGAUGCGCCAGUGACACUGCAGAAUAACCAAUGUCUAUAUUCUCAAAAACUUGCUCAUACUACUGCACAUUUCAAGGAAUACUGCUGAGCGUGGCUCAGCAGUAACAUUCAGUCCAUGCAGGUAACCAAAGCCUCCACAUGCUCUGGCCCAUGUUCAUAGCACGGAACAGUCCCUGAGUUAUUCUUGAGCAGCACCAACAAGGUACUGACACGUAUUCUGUGUCCUUCUAGGUGUCCCUAAGUAGGAAAAGCAGCGGUCCCUUCCUGUCAUGAGUCGCCAGGCUGUUGCUGAGGUGAGCUUCUCGUCUUUCCUUGAGGAACACAAGUGCUUUCUUAGGGUCUUUCCAAUCAACUUCUGUUGUCAAUAGGACAGUCUACAUUUUCGAUGAUCCUGUUACUUUCCCUGAUGGGGACAGUGGUGAGUGGUUUUCUCUUGCCAACUGUCACCUUGGUCAGGGGGACAUUAACCACUGGCUGUGCCAAACCUGGUAAUAAACAGUGUCCUAGGACUUUUGCGUCAGCAGCAAUUUGUCCUGCUUGGGUGAAGAAUUUUGUCGUCGGCAUCCUAAGUGGUCUUGAGAGACACAUGCCCAGGAAAAAACAACUCCUGAUAGCCAUCGUAUUCUUUUGCUUUUGGAGACCUUUGACUCGAGCACUGUGUGCAUCUGGUUCCCGAAAAUCAAGAGGAGAACCAAAGAGCAGUGCAAUGCGUGUUCAUCAUGAUCUUACCCUGAUGGGGUUUCUUGUCUCUACAUUCAGGUCGCCAUGGGAGCAAUGGAAUAUGGUAUGUAUUUUGGAAUCAGUCCCCUGCUGAUGAAAUAAUCUAAAUGGUCAGGAAGUUGGGAUAUUCCUGCUGGCAUCAGUCUAGAGAGCUACCCUGACUCCAGGUUCCCUGUAGGACAGAGGCUUGAGGGUUUGGAGAAAAGACAGAUUUCCCAGGGGAAAACCUGUGUGCAUGUUUAUUUAGAGUGUGAGGAAGACAAUGUAUUCACUGUGUUUUGUAUGUGUGUGUGUGUGUGUGUGUGUGUGUGCAUGCGCGUGUGUGUUUGAGAGAGACAGAAAUUGAGGGAAAGGGAAACACACAGAAUAUGAGACACACUCGUGAGAGAGUGAGGUGACUGAGAGAGAGAGGUGUUUUCCCCAGUAGAUACGUGUGGGCCAUGGACACUUGACAAGACUCAUGUUUACAUUCUCAAACUCCUCAUACUGCACACUGUAAGGAUUAUUGCUGAGCGUGGCUCAUCAGUAACAUUCAUUGCAUGGAGGCAAAGCCUCCAUAUCCUCUGGCCCAUGUUCAUGUUAAAGAACAGUCCAGAGCUAUUCUUGAGCAGUGCCAACAAUGUACUGACGUAUAUUCUGUUUCCUUCUAGGUGUCCCUAAGGAGGAAAGAGUGUGGGCCGUUUGUGUAAGAAGACACCAAGGUGUUGCUGAGGUGAACUUGCCUGUCUUUGCCUAUGGAAGACAAGUUGAUUACUUAGAGUAUCUCCAGUCAUAUUCGGUGACCUAGGACAACGUACAUUUUACAUGAUAGCAUUACAUUCCCUGGUAGGGAGAUUGGUGAGUGGUUGUCUCUUGCCAACCGUAACUUGAUAAAGAGGACAUUAACUGCUGGCAAUGCCAAUCCUGCUAAUAAACAGUGUCAUAGGAUCUUUUCCUGAGUAGCAAUUUUUCUUGCUUGGGUGAGGAAUUUUGUAGUCGGCACCCUAAGUGGUCUUGAGAGACACAUCCCCAGGAAAAAACAACUCCUGAUAGGCAUCCUAUUCAUUUGCUUUUGGGGACCUUUGACUCGAGCACUGUGUGCUAUUUGGGGGUAUUCAGGGGGUAUCUAGGAUGUGGUUAUGGGGAGGGCCCUCCCAGAGAAGAUGAGGCUCUGUCCCCUGCCACAAAAGGGUGUAGACUCAUCAAAAGGAUGAUGAGUCCGUAGAAACUGGAUCUGAGGGAUGAAGGAAGGAGCAGGGAAAGUGGAUACUCAGAGCCAGAACAGCCCUGUGUUCAUUCUCAGCCAAGUCUAGGCUUAGUCCAUGCAGCUUAGACACUUCAGUCAAUAGCCAGUGAGACAUGGAAGGCCACAGACAAUUUAUGAAGCCACCAAAGCACCAGCCCAGGUGGCCAGUUUCCCAAUUACUUCACAAUACCUGCUCAGCCAGAGCUGGUCAGUUGAAGGGAAGCUAAUUCUUAGCAGAGCCAUCAUGUGACCAUUGGUUUGGAAUGUCCUGGCUUCUGGGUCAGCUUGGGAGCCAAACAACCCUGGUCACUGAGGGUGUUCAACUGGUCACCUGGAAGGCACCACGUGAGAUGGCUGAUGGUGUGAAGAUGCCGGAGAAGGAUGGCCCACGUUGGGCUUCCCCUCAUCCUUCAGAGGGGCUUCACUUGGGGGCAACUGUAUUGUGUUUUGGGUCGAGGAUUGAAACCGAGAGAUGGGAGACUGAGUUAGGAUCUGGGUUUUUCUCUUGGCUCAGGCACCUCCUGCAAGGCAUCAACUGUCUCCUUCACAGAAAAUGGGGCGGGAGGAUUUGAGGAAGAGACUGAGGGGCCCCUGGUUAGGGGUACAGGGCAUGAUUUCAGGUGUUCAGAGAUCUCUCUCUCCAGGGAACCAGCUAAAUUUCUGUCUUGAACACCCAACUCAACAGUGUAGUGACUUUUGGCGAAUCACUUUUUCUCUCUAGAUUUGAACGCCCCCACUGUAAAAUACAGAUGACAGGCCCUGCUCUGCCGCCUCCCACCUCAACAGGGCUGACACAGAAACCAGGAGAUCACAGAUACUCUCUUUGAGCUGUAGAGCAUCUCUCCAUAUAAAGGCUAACAGGAAGCUUAUAUCCCCCCCUGCUGUGGAGCCAGCCACAUCCCCUCUCUGGAUUCAACCACUACCAAGGGUCUACCUUGCUCAGUGAUUGAACACCAAGGGAAGUUAUGAAACACCACUUCUUGUUCUGAAGAGUUUACUUGUGUUUAGUCAUUUUGAGCUCACAACUUAAUACUCAAAAUUAGGCCCUAUUAACAUUACAGUAUCUCAGAACAGAGAAACAAGUCACAGAGGGGCCUAUACAACCUUCUCAGGUACGUGGAGCUUCUAAGCAGAGUUUUGACCCAGGCCGUCAGUCAUGGACUAUGUACUUGCUGUGCUUCUACAAUGCCUCAGGGAAAUAAAGCUAUUUGCUCACAAGAUCUGUCUGUUGGGUGUCCUAAGCGUACACCCAACUGCACAAUCUCCAGAUGUCCAGCUUGGCUUCACGAGGCUCUGCUGGUCAGCUGGCAAAUAAUGGAAUCAAAAGAUUAAUUGUGAAUACAUUAUCGCUGAUUUCCCUAUGGACUUCUACAGCAAGGUGUCAACAGUUCUGUCUAUUGCAGUGCAUUUCCCAGGAUCUUGUUUCAAGAAUGAAGAAGAAGAAAUGUUCCCCUGAGGUCAAGCAUAUCAACUGGCACCAGGCAGUGCUUCAGAAAACUCCACAUCUGGCAAACAACAGGGGGGACUCUAUAAAUGACCCCACUGAGGUAUGUGGAAAUUCACUCAUUAAGCUCAUUGAAGAAGAAGGAUUCUACUUUAGUCAGUGUCCCAUAUUUAAUAGAAAACCAUAAAAUCUAAACCGUAUUCUUCUGUAUGCAAAGGGGAAUGAUCAAGGCAAUCAGUUGUGCUGUAAGUGUAUAGAAGUCAAGAUACGUUUCUAACUCCAGAUUGGGCACAUGUUUUACACUAAACAACAUCUCUCGCUGUUGUAUAGACCUUCAGCUGACUUGUGAACAUUGGCUCUAAUAGAUCUCUUCCUGAAACAGUGUUUACAGAUUUUUAAAAACCUCAAUAGGCAUGAUUUAGAACAGGAGGUUUAGAUGAAUGUAAGAGUUGAACAGAUAAUGUAGAAAGUUCCCAUAUUCUACCCCUCCAGUUUCCCCAAUUGAUAACAUCUAACACGAGUGUAGUACCUUUGGUAAAAUUAGCAAAAUCAUAAUGAUACGUUUUCAUUAAAUUAAAGUCGCAGCUUCCAUUGAAAUUCACUCUUUGUGCUUUGACAUUCUAUGAAUUUUGACAAAUGCAUAAUGUCGUGCAUCACCGUGACCAUAUUCUACAGAAAUCCAUACACCAGUGUCCCUAACUGCGCCAUCCAGGGGAGCAGCCACUGAUCAGAUGUGCCUGCUUCUGCUUAAGUUAAUUAACGUAAAUGAAGUUAAACAUUGAAGCAGUUGAAUAUCCCUGCUGCUUUGGAGACUGAGGAAUGGGGUAUGAAAUCGAGAGAAGGAGGAAAUAUGUGUGAAGCUUUGUUUUGUUCUGUUUUUCAUAUGUCAGUGUCAUAACAGUAGGAGAUACUGUGUGUGGGCUUCAAGUGUGUUUUGCUCUUCAAGAUUAUCUUUCCCCCAAGACCAGCUCUUUUCUGCUUCUCCUCCACCGAGCAUCAAAGCCUCAAUUACAUUUGGUUUGCACGUUUUGCGAAUUGAACAGGGAAGUUACUACAUUGGGUUUGGUAUGACCUGUGACAGAAGAAGUCUGGGGAGAUACACUGUCACACAUACUUCAACUGGAGACCGAGUGCUACCAUGUGAGCCGGAGG